rnacentral:rRNA from 1 species
GACGAACGCUGGCGGCGUGCUUAACACAUGCAAGUCGAACGAUGAAGGAGGAGCUUGCUCCUCUGGAUUAGUGGCGAACGGGUGAGUAACACGUGAGCAAUCUGCCCUUGACUCUGGGAUAAGCGCUGGAAACGGCGUCUAAUACCGGAUACGACCCUCGGAGGCAUCUCCUGUGGGUGGAAAGAACUUCGGUCAAGGAUGAGCUCGCGGCCUAUCAGCUUGUUGGUGAGGUAAUGGCUCACCAAGGCGACGACGGGUAGCCGGCCUGAGAGGGUGACCGGCCACACUGGGACUGAGACACGGCCCAGACUCCGACGGGAGGCAGCAGUGGGGAAUAUUGCACAAUGGGCGCAAGCCUGAUGCAGCAACGCCGCGUGAGGGACGACGGCCUUCGGGUUGUAAACCUCUUUUAGCAGGGAAGAAGCGAGAGUGACGGUACCUGCAGAAAAAGCACCGGCUAACUACGUGCCAGCAGCCGCCGUAAAAC